rnacentral:rRNA from 1 species
UGGGGAAUAUUGCACAAUGGGCGCAAGCCUGAUGCAGCCAUGCCGCGUGUGUGAAGAAGGCCUUCGGGUUGUAAAGCACUUUCAGCGGGGAGGAAGGCGUUAAGGUUAAUAACCUUGGCGAUUGACGUUACCCGCAGAAGCAGCACCGGCUAACUCCGUGCCAGCAGCCGCGGUAAUACGGAGGGUGCAAGCGUUAAUCGGAAUUACUGGGCGUAAAGCGCACGCAGGCGGUCUGUCAAGUCGGAUGUGAAAUCCCCGGGCUCAACCUGGGAACUGCAUUCGAAACUGGCAGGCUAGAGUCUUGUAGAGGGGGGUAGAAUUCCAGGUGUAGCGGUGAAAUGCGUAGAGAUCUGGAGGAAUACCGGUGGCGAAGGCGGCCCCCUGGACAAAGACUGACGCUCAGGUGCGAAAGCGUGGGGAGCAAACAGG